rnacentral:rRNA from 1 species
GGUGGGGGAGCAAACAGGAUUAGAUACCUGGUAGUCCACGCUGUAAACGAUGAGUGCUAAGUGUUAGGGGGUUCCGCCCUUUAGUGCUGCAGCUAACGCAUUAAGCACUCCGCUGGGGAGUACGACCGCAAGGUUGAAACUCAAAGGAAUUGACGGGGGCCCGCACAAGCGGUGGAGCAUGUGGUUUAAUUCGAAGCAACGCGAAGAACCUUACCAGGUCUUGACAUCCUUUGACCACUUUAGAGAUAAAGCUUUCCCUUCGGGGACAAAGUGACAGGUGGUGCAUGGUUGUCGUCAGCUCGUGUCGUGAGAUGUUGGGUUAAGUCCCGCAACGAGCGCAACCCUUAUUGUUAGUUGCCAUCAUUCAGUUGGGCACUCUAGCGAAACUGCCGGUGACAAACCGGAGGAAGGUGGGGAUGACGUCAAAUCAUCAUGCCCCUUAUGACCUGGGCUACACACGUGCUACAAUGGACAGUACAAUGAGCAGCGACACGGUGACGUGAAGCGAAUCUCAUAAAGCUGUUCUCAGUUCGGAUUGUAGGCUGCAACUCGCCUACAUGAAGCCGGAAUCGCUAGUAAUCGCGGAUCAGCACGCCGCGGUGAAUACGUUCCCGGGCCUUGUACACACCGCCCGUCACACCACGAAAGUUUGUAACACCCAAAGUCGGUGAGGUAACCUUCGGGAGCCAGCCGCCUAAGGUGGGAUAGAUGAUUGGGGUGAAGUCGUAACAAGGUAACCAAGGGCGAAUUCUG